CUUUUCUAUGGACCCACAAUUGGAGAGGCAAGUGGAGACCAUUCGCAACCUCGUAGACUCCUACAUGUCCAUUAUCAACAAAUGUAUCCGAGAUCUAAUUCCAAAAACAAUAAUGCACCUUAUGAUCAAUAACGUUAAAGAUUUCAUAAAUUCCGAGCUCCUAGCACAGUUGUAUUCUUCAGAGGACCAAAAUACCCUGAUGGAGGAAUCUGCUGAGCAGGCUCAGCGCCGGGAUGAGAUGCUUCGAAUGUACCAAGCACUGAAAGAAGCCCUUGGGAUAAUUGGGGACAUCAGCACGGCCACCGUGUCCACUCCGGCACCCCCUCCAGUGGAUGACUCCUGGAUACAGCACUCUCGCAGGUCACCUCCUCCAAGCCCCACAACCCAAAGGAGGCCAACACUAAGUGCUCCCCUCGCAAGGCCCACAUCCGGCCGAGGACCAGCUCCUGCCAUUCCCUCUCCUGGCCCCCACUCUGGGGCUCCUCCAGUCCCAUUCCGUCCAGGCCCAUUACCUCCUUUCCCCAGCAGCAGUGACUCCUUCGGAGCCCCUCCACAAGUUCCAUCUAGGCCUACGAGAGCCCCGCCCAGUGUCCCAAGGUUUGGUGCCAUGAAGGAUGAAGCUGCUGAGCCCUGAAGUCGUGGGCUAAGGGUACACGGACAAUUAAGCAACUUAAGUGACUAGCCUGUGUCUGAUUCCCCUGCAGUCAUGUACUGAAAACCUCCUGACUUACUGUCUUUUCAACAGCCCUCUAAAAGUCUGACUUCUUUUAGCAGCUGAAUGUCAUUUGGACAAAUGAGGAACUCAUCUUGUGACCUCUGAUGUCAGCCAGGAGCUUUCUAUUUUUCUCACCAUCCUCCCCCUUUAAAAAACAAAUACAUAAAUUUAUCAUUGGGCAUUGUGAUUUUUCAUGGAACAGUUUUUAUUUUUAGCAACUGGCUUUCAAAGCAAGGAAAGAUUUUUUUUAAGCAUAAUUACUAAGAAUAGAAACAACUUUGAGGUGUUCUUUUUGAUUCUUAAUAUUUAAGGUGUCUCAUGACAUUUGAAGUCUCUAAAUGUCAUUAAUCAUUUGUUGCAGGUUUAAUAUGAGUUGUCAUGAUGCUUAAUAUACUUUAAUGAAAAUAGAAUUUUGGCCACAUGCUGUUCAUUAAAGAAAAUAUCCAAUUUAAUAUAAGUCCGUCAAUUAAAAAUCCCAUCAAAAGCCUUGUUCCAAUUUCACCAUGAUUCUGGCUAUAACACAAUUAUUUCAUUGGAGUGAAUCAAUGGUUAAUGUCAAAGUUUUUAAUUCUUCAAGUCU
rnacentral:lncRNA from 1 species